CUGACGACCGGCGGACGGGUGCGUAAUGCGUAUGAAACCUACCUUUUACGGGAGAUAGCCCAGAGAAAUUUGGAUUAAUGCUCCAUAGUAUUAUUGAUUGAAAUCGAUUGAUAAUUAAAGUUUCCGCUAUUGAAGAUGGCUAUGCGUUCUAUUAGCUAGUUGGUACGGUAACGGCGUACCAAGGCAAUCAUAGAUAGGGGUCCUGAGAUGGAGAUCCCCCUCACUGGUACUGAGACACGGACCCUCUCCUACGGGAGGCAGCGGGGAAUAAUAUUGGACAAUGGAGGCAACUCUGAUCCCCCAUGCCGCGUGCAGGAAGACGGCCCUAUGGGUUGUAAACUGCU
rnacentral:rRNA from 1 species